UCAUUUGAAUAAUACUCUCCCUUCUUAUUAUGUCACGUGCCUCCCGCUGAUCUAUUUUCCGACCUAAUCCAUUGCAUGCCAUCCAUGGUUGUUUGUUGUCGUUCAGCACGCAAUUUCAACCCAUAAAGAAAUUGUACUUUAGCAAUUUCUAAAUGAUGAUAUAGUUUGCACCAAAACUUGUUCGUAUAACCAAUCAAACCACAAAAGAAAAAAAAAAGUUCCCAAUCUUUCAUACUUAAAUGUGUUUUGCACACAUUCACCACCUGGCUGCCUAAUUUUCAUUGAUCGUUUAAGUGGUUUUUGGAUGUUAAUGCUCACUCAUAUCCUCAUGUAGUCUUUCCAAAACAUGUCAUGAUUUUUUUAUGUUAAGUGGUGGAUUAAUAAAAGACCUAAUAUUGAAUUAUUAUGUGUGUGGAUAAGUUAGGUCCAAUAACAAUUUGACUAUGAUGGGUAGAUGCUCUAUAAAUAGAGGCAAACUCCUUUUCCCUAGCCACUAGAAAACUCUAGCCUAUUUUCUUCUUGAAUACGUGGUAUAGCGGUUGACGCUCCAUUGGUUUGAUAUAGCUGAAGGAUGGUUUAAGUUGGUCUUAAGUUUAACCGUCGACGUUGCUACCGCUGCUUAAUAAUGGAGAUGAAGGUUGAUUCCAAAUGGUUCGCAAGGGAAGGUUCCGCGUUGAAGGACUUCAGGCUUGAAUUUCGAUGCUUCAAGAUCUAGUAUGAGUACGAGGCGUGAUAGCUGCGCUAGUGCCUGUCAGAGUUGGUGACUGGGGAAUUGGCAUGUUCUAGGUUUUUAGAGUGUACUCCAGACCUCGUCUUAUCUAGAUGUCUUUACUUAUUUCAGAGACAUAUAUUUUAUUUUCGUACUUUCUGAGUUGUAUUUAGAUGCUCUACACUUAUGAUACCAGAUGUU